UUCUUGGAGAGUUUGAUCCUGGCUCAGGACGAACGCUGGCGGCGUGCCUAAUACAUGCAAGUCGAGCGAAUUUUUUGGGGCUUGCCCCAGAAGGUUAGCGGCGGACGGGUGAGUAACACGUGGGCAACCUGCCUGUAAGACUGGGAUAACUUCGGGAAACCGGAGCU
rnacentral:rRNA from 1 species